rnacentral:rRNA from 1 species
UGGGGAAUAUUGCACAAUGGGCGCAAGCCUGAUGCAGCCAUGCCGCGUGUAUGAAGAAGGCCUUCGGGUUGUAAAGUACUUUCAGUCGGGAGGAAGGUGUCAAGGUUAAUAACCUUGGCAAUUGACGUUACCGACAGAAGAAGCACCGGCUAACUCCGUGCCAGCAGCCGCGGUAAUACGGAGGGUGCAAGCGUUAAUCGGAAUUACUGGGCGUAAAGCGCACGCAGGCGGUUGAUUGAGUCAGAUGUGAAAUCCCCGGGCUUAACCCGGGAAUUGCAUCUGAUACUGGUCAGCUAGAGUCUUGUAGAGGGGGGUAGAAUUCCAUGUGUAGCGGUGGAAUGCGUAGAGAUGUGGAGGAAUACCGGUGGCGAAGGCGGCCCCCUGGACAAAGACUGACGCUCAGGUGCGAAAGCGUGGGGAGCAAACAGG